rnacentral:sRNA from 1 species
UGCCUAACCCUUAAAAUUUAUUUUAAGGUAUGGCAAAAAGUCGUUGUGCAUAUCAAACCCGUCAUUCGGGGGUGUGCACAACGCUAUACAGGGAAACUUGUAUAUGGGUCGCAAGACUCA